rnacentral:rRNA from 1 species
AACGCGAAGAACCUUACCAAGGCUUGACAUCCCUCUGACGUGCAUAGAGAUAUGUAUUCUCUUCGGAGCAGAGGAGACAGGUGGUGCAUGGUUGUCGUCAGCUCGUGUCGUGAGAUGUUGGGUUAAGUCCCGCAACGAGCGCAACCCUUAUCUUUAGUAGCCAUCAUUAAGUUGGGCACUCUAGAGAGACUGCCGUGGAUAACUCGGAGGAAGGUGGGGAUGACGUCAAAUCAUCAUGCCCCUUAUGUUCUGGGCUACACACGUGCUACAAUGGUCGGUACAACGAGAAGCGAGACCGCGAGGUGGAGCAAAUCUUGAAAACCGAUCCCAGUUCGGAUUGCAGGCUGCAACUCGCCUGCAUGAAGUCGGAGUUGCUAGUAAUCGCAGAUCAGAAUGCUGCGGUGAAUGCGUUCCCGGGUCUUGUACACACCG